AAAGCCCCUGGGAAUAGGGGCAGGUGGCAACCAUUUCCACCAAAGAAUACUUAUAGAAUAAGUGCUUAUGUUCAAAUAACUUCUGCAUCUGAGCCAAGAACUGCCUUUUCCUUUUGCCAGCUAACCACUCACUUUUCAGUUUCCUCACCUGCUUCAUUCCCCCUGGGAGCUAUAUAUGCAAUAUUCACCAGCUGCCUAGCUGGAGAUGGUUCUGCUGUGACACAGAAAAGCUGGAUUGAGAAAGCAAUAAAUGUGAACAACCAGUUUUUCUCCUAGCAUGUGACAUGGAAGCUUUUGUCAUUAUUGCACCCCGCUGAGGUAGUGUGUUUUCAUACUCUGAGGAAGAGGAACCUCAGAAGCUGGAAGUUUGGAGCAUUCCUGGAGGGUUGACACUUAGGUUAGGUAUCUGAAAGGAGGAAGACAGGAAUGUCAUCUGAUAGGAUUGAAGCUACUAAAGGUCUUAUUCGGAGAGGCCAAACGGCAAGAUCACCUGUUCAAACAUUGUCACCCAAGCUCUACCCCUUUGGAGCAAUCAUGAAUGGAGAAACAUCACCUAUAAAUAUAAUGUAAUUGAGGAAUCAGUGUACUCCCUUCUCAUUCUUCCAGAACAGAACCACUGAAGCUCUUUCCUGUAAUGCAGUACCUAUUUUAGCUCUUUGCAAAACUGACACUUAACCCUUCUUCCCAGAAGUUUGGACAUUGACUCAAACAAUUUUUCUAGUACUCUACUCUUUUAUCUUCAGGAUUUUGUUUUUUAUAAGCAAUUUUUCUCUGAUUCAGCUACGAAUUCUGCAAAACCAUGUAUUCCAUCUUCUUUAUUAAUAAAUGGGCAUGCCAACCUAAUCUGUCAAAAAUGGUUAGUAAUUUAAACAG